CGGAGGAGCAUGUGGUUUAAUUCGAUGAUACGCGAGGAACCGUUACCUGGGCUCGAACGUAAGAUGACUGUAGGUGAAAGCUUACAUCUCUUCGGAGCAUUUUACGAGGUGCUGCAUGGUUGUCGUCAGCUCGUGCCGUGAGGUGUCGGGUUAAGUCCCAUAACGAGCGCAACCCCUACCCUUAGUUGCCAUCAGGUUAAGCUGGGGACUCUAAAGGAACUGCCUACGCAGGUAGUGAGGAAGGCGGGGAUGACGUCAAAUCAGCACGGCCCUUACGUCCAGGGCUACACACGUGCUACAAUGGCCGAUACAGAGGGCAGCUACCUGGUGACAGGAUGCAAAUCUCCAAAGUCGGUCUCAGUUCGGAUCGGAGUCUGCAACCCGACUCCGUGAAGUUGGAUUCGCUAGUAAUCGCGCAUCAGCCGUGGCGCGGUGAAUACGUUCCCGGGCCUU
rnacentral:rRNA from 1 species